rnacentral:rRNA from 1 species
UACGUAGGUGGCAAGCGUUGUCCGGAAUUACUGGGCGUAAAGGGCUCGUAGGCGGCCAACUAAGUCAGACGUGAAAUCCCUCGGCUUAACCGGGGAACUGCGUCUGAUACUGGAUGGCUUGAGUUUGGGAGAGGGAUGCGGAAUUCCAGGUGUAGCGGUGAAAUGCGUAGAUAUCUGGAGGAACACCGGUGGCGAAGGCGGCAUCCUGGACCAACACUGACGCUGAGUGAGCGAAAGCCAGGGGAGCAAACGGG